UACGUAGGGUGCAAGCGUUAAUCGGAAUUACUGGGCGUAAAGCGUGCGCAGGCGGUUUUGUAAGUCUGAUGUGAAAUCCCCGGGCUCAACCUGGGAAUUGCAUUGGAGACUGCAAGGCUAGAAUCUGGCAGAGGGGGGUAGAAUUCCACGUGUAGCAGUGAAAUGCGUAGAGAUGUGGAGGAACACCGAUGGCGUAGGCAGGCGACUGGCUCAUUGUUGACGCUAAGGCACGAAAGCGUGGGGAGCGACCGGG
rnacentral:rRNA from 1 species